CCCUUAGAUGUUCUGGGCAGCACGCGCGCUACAAUGGUCUUCGCAAACGGAUGCAUUCUCGAAGGAGAAUGCCAAUCUUGGAAUCUAUGCCUUGGUCGGGACAGUUGCUUGCAAUUUUUCGACUCGAACCAGGAAUUCCUUGUAAUCGUGAUUCAUCACAUCACGAUGAAUACGUCCCCGCCCUUUGUACACACCGCCCGUCGCUCCUACCGAUCGAAGAGUUAGGUGAAUUGUCUUGAUCGAUAAGAUUUGACUAUGGUCAACUCUCGUUGUGAAAUUCUGUGAAUCUGACUGUUUAGAGGAAGGAAAAAUCGUAACA
rnacentral:rRNA from 1 species